GACGAACCGUGCAAACGUUGUUCGGAAUCACUGGGCUUAAAGGGCGCGUAGGCGGGUUGCCAAGUCUGUGGUGAAAGCCCCCGGCUUAACCGGGGAAGUGCCGUGGAUACUGGCGAUCUCGAGGAGGGUAGGGGCAUCUGGAACGUUGGGGUGGAGCGGUGAAAUGCGUUGAUAUCCAAACGGAACUCCGGUGGCGAAGGCGAGGUGCUGGACCCUUUCUGACGCUGAGGCGCGAAA
rnacentral:rRNA from 1 species